UAUGGUAUAACUUAGUGGCAGACGGGUGAGUAAUGUAUAGGAAUCUACCUAGUAGUACGGAAUAAUUGUUGGAAACGGCAACUAAUACCGUAUACGCCCUACGGGGGAAAAAUUUAUUGCUAUUAGAUGAGCCUAUAUUAGAUUAGCUAGUUGGUGGAGUAAUAGCCUACCAAGGCAAUGAUCUAUAGCUGAUCUGAGAGGAUGAUCAGCCACACUGGAACUGAGAUACGGUCCAGACUCCUACGGGGGGCAGCAGUGGGGAAUAUUGGACAAUGGGCGAAAGCCUGAUCCAGCCAUGCCGCAUGAGUGAAGAAGGCCUUUGGGUUGUAAAGCUCUUUUAGUGAGGAAGAUAAUGACGGUACUCACAGAAGAAGUCCUGGCUAACUCCGUGCCAGCAGCCGCGGUAAUACGGAGAGGGCUAGCGUUAUUCGGAAUUAUUGGGCGUAAAGGGCGCGUAGGCUGGUUAAUAAGUUAAAAGUGAAAUCCCGAGGCUUAACCUUGGAAUUGCUUUUAAAACUAUUAAUCUAGAGAUUGAAAGAGGAUAGAGGAAUUCCUGAUGUAGAGGUAAAAUUCGUAAAUAUUAGGAGGAACACCAGUGGCGAAGGCGUCUAUCUGGUUCAAAUCUGACGCUGAAGCGCGAAGGCGUGGGGAGCAAACAGGAUUAGAUACCCUGGUAGUCCACGCUGUAAACGAUGAAUGUUAAAUAUGGGAAGUUUACUUUCUGUAUUACAGCUAACGCGUUAAACAUUCCGCCUGGGGACUACGGUCGCAAGAUUAAAACUCANAGGAAUUGACGGGGACCCGCACAAGCGGUGGAGCAUGUGGUUUAAUUCGAUGCAA
rnacentral:rRNA from 1 species